UACGUAGGCAGCAAGCGUUGUUCGGAAUUACUGGGCGUAAAGAGUGUGUAGGCGGUGCUCUAAGUCUGUUGUGAAAUCUCCCGGCUUAACUGGGAGGGUGCGGCGGAGACUGGAGUGCUAGAGUGUGGGAGAGGUAAGCGGAAUUCCUGGUGUAGCGGUGAAAUGCGUAGAUAUCGGGAGGAACACCAGUGGCGAAGGCGACUACCUGGCCUGUUUCUUGACGCUGAGGCGCGAAAGCUAGGGGAGCAAACGGG
rnacentral:rRNA from 1 species